UAACGGGAGAGACUAACAGGAUUCCCCUAGUAACUGCGAGUGAAGCGGGAAAAGCUCAAAUUUAAAAUCUGGCAGUCUCUGGCUGUCCGAGUUGUAAUCUAGAGAAGUAAUGCCCGUGCUGGACCGUGUAUAAGUCUCCUGGGAUGGGGCGUCAUAGAGGGUGAGAAUCCCGUCUUUGACACGGACUACCAGUGCAUUGUGGUAUGCUCUCAAAGAGUCGAGUUGUUUGGGAAUGCAGCUCAAAAUGGGUGGUAAAUUCCAUCUAAAGCUAAAUAUUGGCGAGAGACCGAUAGCGAACAAGUACCGUGAGGGAAAGAUGAAAAGAACUUUGGAAAGAGAGUUAAACAGUACGUGAAAUUGCUGAAAGGGAAACGCUUGAAGUCAGUCGCGUUGGCCGGGAAUCAGCCUUGCUUCUGCAUGGUGUACUUUCUGGUUGACGGGUCAGCAUCAAUUUUGACCGCUGGAAAAAGGCCUGGGGAAUGUGGCAGCUUCGGCUGUGUUAUAGCCCCUAGUUGCAUACAGUGGUUGGGAUUGAGGAACUCAGCACGCCGCAAGGCCGGGUUUCGACCACGUUCGUGCUUAGGAUGCUGGCAUAAUGGCUUUAAGCGACCCGUCUUGAAACACGGACCAAGGAGUCUAACAUGCCUGCGAGUAUUUGGGUGGAAAACUCAAGUGCGUAAUGAAAGUGAAAGUUGAGAUCCCUGUCGUGGGGAGCAUCGACGCCCGGACCAGAACUUUUGGGACGGAUCCGCGGUGGAGCAUGUAUGUUGGGACCCGAAAGAUGGUGAACUAUGCCUGAAUAGGGUGAAGCCAGAGGAAACUCUGGUGGAGGCUCGUAGCGAUUCUGACGUGCAAAUCGAUCGUCAAAUUUGGGUAUAGGGGCGAAAGACUAAUCGACCAUCUAGGUGCUUU
rnacentral:rRNA from 1 species